rnacentral:rRNA from 1 species
AUUGAACGCUGGCGGCAGGCUUAACACAUGCAAGUCGAGCGGGGGGAGGUAGCUUGCUACCGGACCUAGCGGCGGACGGGUGAGUAAUGCUUAGGAAUCUGCCUAUUAGUGGGGGACAACAUCUCGAAAGGGAUGCUAAUACCGCAUACGUCCUACGGGAGAAAGCAGGGGAUCUUCGGACCUUGCGCUAAUAGAUGAGCCUAAGUCGGAUUAGCUAGUUGGUGGGGUAAAGGCCUACCAAGGCGACGAUCUGUAGCGGGUCUGAGAGGAGGGUCCGCCACGCGGGGACUGAGACACCGCCCAGACUCCUACGGGAGGCAGCAGUGGGGAAUAUUGGACAAUGGGGGGAACCCUGAUCUAGCCAUGCCGCGUGUGUGAGGAAGGCCUUAUGGUUGUAAAGCACUUUAAGCGAGGAGGAGGCUACUUUAGUUAAUACCUAGAGAUAGUGGACGUUACUCGCAGAAUAAGCACCGGCUAACUCUGUGCCAGCAGCCGCAGUAA